GGGUGUCGCUGUUUUCAGGAUUAGCGUCGCCUCGUCGGCACCAUCGCCGGGAGCAACACUGCCUCAAGUCGUCGACACCAGCACAACAUCAUGUCGUCCUCGCCGGGAGCAGCGUCUCCUCACGCCGUUGAGCUCAGAGGCAUGCCUAGAUUUCUCCAUACACGAUUUGCAUCGGCCCAAAGUGGUAGGUAAUAAUUUGUCCUUCUUUCCGGCAGGAGGAGCACGGCCUGCUGCACCACGACGUCGAGCUCAUCUGGAGCCCAUUGGCGGAACGGAGGCCCGCGGAAGUAGCGCCAUCUGUUCUUUGAGAUGCCGCCACACGCUGUCUUGUCGCUAGGAGGAGCUUGUCGGUACUCCACAUGAGGUGACAGCUCAAGGAUCGGAAGAGGAAGGUUUUUGCGCUGCAAUUCAAAUGGACAUUGAUCAGGUUCAGAAAAAUACGCCUUACAUGACACACGGAUUACUGGAUUAGACAUAAACUGAAAUUAUUAUACUUGUCCUUGGCUCAUAUUUUGGUUUGUCAAGUGUAUCCCAGUGAGUAACAUGGUCCCCUUCCCCAAAUACCUAUUUAUUAUUUGGUUGGGUUGCACUAAAAGAAUUAUUGUGCAGUUCUUAGACACUGAAGCUAUUAUUUAAAUUCAAUGGGUGCAUUUUUAGUAACUUACGCAAAUUAUUGUGGGUGUCUAGCAUUUUAGUCCUGCAUCAACGAUGGCCUAGCCAUGCAGCCAACAUUAGGACAGAGCCACAUCGACGGGGAUGAGAUCUCCGAUGUGUUUUGCUCUCGAUGGUCUGAUGCAACCUUUGGGAUUAGAGGAUUGUCGCCAUUGUAUGGAGGAGCACCAGCCUGCUCCAUUGGAAGGAGCAGCCGACAUCACCGCCAGGCGUUUAUCCUCACCUUGGCAAGGCUGUGGUGCCCUUGGUUACUCUAGGUGUUAUUCAGCCCAGAUUGUUAGCAUGGAUUUAUUUUCUAGGUGUUGAUUGUGCUAACUACUCACUAUUUCACUUUUUACUUGAAUGAGUCAAGCGUUUUGAGUGGGAGAUUGGGGUGAAAUCUUGUUCUCCGAGUAAGCAAAGAUCCAUGAAAUCGUCCAAAGGUGUCCAGGAGAUGGCUCUAAGGGAAGUUCUGAUGAUCCUUCUCUCCACCAAUGGAUAUAUUCUGUCUAAGGCAAGUUUUAAACUUCCAGAAAGAGACUGCAGUGAUGAUUUGGCUGGAGUCUAUGGAGCCAAGUUUACUCCUGUGUACAAAAUACAAGGAGGAAAGGUGACUCAAGGCAGAACCAAUUUCUGUCCAAUACAGGAUUGACAGCGUAGAACAUGGCUAGGAGGCCAGGACUAUCACAUUGGAGCAUACUCAGGUUGCAUUUGGUUCCCUUCCAGAAACCAGAAAUUAAUCGAGUAUGAAGGAAAUAAGAUGAUAUUUUUGUAUAGAUCCAUGAUGCCUUCUUUCCUGUCCCGUCGACUUCAGAUUUUUGUAAGAGAAGUCACUCCAGUUUGUGUAAAGGACAUUUGAAAUUCGUGUUGACCUGGUUGAGCCUCCAAAAUCUGCUGCCACGGGGAAGAAGGUAACCUUUCCUGGGCACUCGGGAGAGCCACAGCCUUCUCUUAACGCCAAGAGUAAGAGUUAGAAGAAUUAUAUGCUGACCUGCACAUCAACAACAAGUUUGUCGCAUGCCUCAAAGGUGGUUCACAACUUCGGUUGGGGUAUGCAAGGCCAAGAAGACAGACUGCAUGAAUUGGACAUACAAAAAUUGAGGCUGGGGUAUGCAAGGUCAAGACUACAAAUACUAUGAUAAAUUAUGAUUUACCAUUUGUUCCGAUGUUCCAUGGCAAUCAUGGUGUGCAAACAUGCAUUAAAUGAUAGCUGAGGGACAACUAUUGUAGGCUGUGAAGAGAAGCAAUAAUAUGGUGAAUGUCUCCUAAGAUAGCUGAAUGAGAAGGACAGAUAAAUUGAUGUGUGCAGGAUACAUUUUGUCAACUGGGCUUUGUGAUGAUUUGGAUAUAACGUAGUGAAGGAACCUGAAGGUUCUCAUGUAUUCUUAAGUAUGAAGAGACCUUAUGUAUGAAAUAGCAGUGUAUUUUGAUCUUAAUAUAAACUGUUGCUGCUAUGUAUAACAUUUUUCCGUA